GUAAGGGUUGGUGGUGGUGGAGGAGGAGGAGAACAUACGAAGGGUACUGUGGCGGCAUCUCUGGGGAAGAGUAAGAAGUAGACACAUAAGAAGGAGAAAAACGAAAGAGGU
rnacentral:sRNA from 1 species